UUUUAUGCGUGGGGAACUGAAGCCCUGUGCUGGGAAGACGUUCGGUGGAGGGGAAGCCGGGAGUUAGAGCCGCGAUGCCGGGGCCGGGGUGGUUCCUCUCCCACUCGCCAGGCUGACCCAGGCAGGACGGAGGAGGUGGGGCGAGCGGAGAGGAGGGAGAGCAGGAGCAGGAGAGAAGGCAGCGGGAGAGCCCUGAGGAGAGCUGCUGGCCCCAGCAGGGAGGAGACUGCCCCGCCUGCCCACCUCCUCCUGCUGCGGAAGAGCUUGGGCCUCCCUCUUCACCCCUCUGCCAGGCCCAGAACAGCCCUGCGCUGCACGCCUUGUAAAUUGUUAUGGCUCAAUGAAGAGCUCGUCCUUAAAUGUCACUCACGGGGGAAUUAAGGUGCAGAAGGCAGGAGACCAGCUGCGGGCACCUGCACCGGCUGGAGGAAAGUGGGACUGGCAGGGGUGGCACCCGCAGGACCGGGCGAGGUCAAGAUCUUCUGGAAGGGCAGUGGGCACAGCGCCCGGGGUUCCUCCAAAGAGCCCCCACCCCCUCUGGCGAUUACUGCCUCGACCCAGUUUCGUGUCGCCUUCCUGAAUUUGAGAUGAAACAGAAUCACACGCGCGUGUGCUCUCCUGUCUGGCUUCUCCCAGCCGACCUGGCGGCGCUGGCGUGAUUCAUCCGUGCGGUUGGCAUAGUCACAGCCCAUCCGUUCUCGAAAGGCCGAGGCUGCUCCCCGCUGCCGGGAAGUUCCACCUGGGUCUAACCUCCAUCCCUCACGUUGUGGGUUGCUGUUUCUGCCGAAGUCUGAGGAGAGGGACACGGUAGCAAUGAGGCAGGCGUUUGCAAGGACCUGACGGCGAGGGAGUAAAAGCAGAUGGGUUCGAGACUGUUUAGCAAAUCAAACCAGCAAGACUAGAAACAAAUUCGAUACGGAAACCGAAGGAGAGGGAAGGAUUUCAGAGAGCAGUUCAAGUCCUGGCUCCUGAGAUGAUUCAGAGAAGGGUCCCUCUGCCAGGGAGCCAGUCCAGGUCACCCGGGGCCCACAGCCGACCCCUCAUUUCCUGUUGGUUCAGCCCAGCCCUGCCCCGCCCAGCCCAGGAACCUCAGCCCCUCCGUCUCUGCCCCAAUUUAUAGCCUCAAAACCCAUAAACAGCUUUGUGCAAGGCCUGGGGCUCCCAGGUUGGGCCCUGGACCUCCCACAUUCCGUGGGAUGCAGCACCCCAACUAUAAAAAUCACAAAAAUAAAUGAGAUGGUAUU